rnacentral:rRNA from 1 species
GUAGGGAAUAUUGGGCAAUGGAUGCAAGUCUGACCCAGCCAUCCCGCGUGCCGGAAGAAGGCCCUCAGGGUUGUAAACGGCUUUUGACGGUGAAGAACCGACAGGAUGCGUCCUGUUUUGACGGUAGCCGUUGAAUAAGCACCGGCUAACUCCGUGCCAGCAGCCGCGGUAAUACGGAGGGUGCGAGCGUUGUCCGGAUUUAUUGGGUUUAAAGGGUACGUAGGCUGGAAGGUCAGUCAGCGGUGAAAAGCUAUCGCUUAACGAUAGUCUUGCCGCAGAUACUUCCUUUCUUGGAUGAGGAGGAGGCCACUGGAACGGAUGGUGUAGCGGUGAAAUGCAUAGAUAUCAUCCAGAACACCGAUUGCGAAGGCAGGUGGCUGUACCUUAAUCGACGCUGAUGCACGAAAGCAUGGGGAGCAAACAGGAUUAGAAACCCCAGUAGUCC